AUUGAACGCUGGCGGCAGGCCUAACACAUGCAAGUCGAACGAGUGGCGGACGGGUGAGUAAUGUCUGGGAAACUGCCUGAUGGAGGGGGAUAACUACUGGAAACGGUAGCUAAUACCGCAUACCAUCGGAUGUGCCCAGAUGGGAUUAGCUAGUCGGUGGGGUAACGGCUCACCAAGGCGACGAUCCCUAGCUGGUCUGAGAGGAUGACCAGCCACACGGAAACUGAGACACGGUCCAGACUCCUACGUGAGGCAGCAGUGGGGAAUAUUGCACAAUGGGCGCAAGGCUGAUGCAGCCAUGCCGCGUGUAUGAAGAAGGCCUUCGGGUUGUAAAGUACUUUCAGCGGGGAGGCGUUACCCGCAGAAGAAGCACCGGCUAACUCCGUGCCAGCAGCCGCGGUAAUUC
rnacentral:rRNA from 1 species